GGGUUGUGAGGUUAAGCGACUAAGCGUACACGGUGGAUGCCCUGGCAGUCAGAGGCGAUGAAGGACGUGCUAAUCUGCGAUAAGCGUCGGUAAGGUGAUAUGAACCGUUAUAACCGGCGAUUUCCGAAUGGGGAAACCCAGUGUGAUUCGUCACACUAUCAUUAACUGAAUCCAUAGGUUAAUGAGGCGAACCGGGGGAACUGAAACAUCUAAGUACCCCGAGGAAAAGAAAUCAACCGAGAUUCCCCCAGUAGCGGCGAGCGAACGGGGAGCAGCCCAGAGCCUGAAUCAGUGUGUGUGUUAGUGGAAGCGUCUGGAAAGGCGCGCGAUACAGGGUGACAGCCCCGUACACAAAAAUGCACAUACUGUGAGCUCGAUGAGUAGGGCGGGACACGUGGUAUCCUGUCUGAAUAUGGGGGGACCAUCCUCCAAGGCUAAAUACUCCUGACUGACCGAUAGUGAACCAGUACCGUGAGGGAAAGGCGAAAAGAACCCCGGCGAGGGGAGUGAAAAAGAACCUGAAACCGUGUACGUACAAGCAGUGGGAGCACGCUUAGGCGUGUGACUGCGUACCUUUUGUAUAAUGGGUCAGCGACUUAUAUUCUGUAGCAAGGUUAACCGAAUAGGGGAGCCGAAGGGAAACCGAGUCUUAACUGGGCGUUAAGUUGCAGGGUAUAGACCCGAAACCCGGUGAUCUAGCCAUGGGCAGGUUGAAGGUUGGGUAACACUAACUGGAGGACCGAACCGACUAAUGUUGAAAAAUUAGCGGAUGACUUGUGGCUGGGGGUGAAAGGCCAAUCAAACCGGGAGAUAGCUGGUUCUCCCCGAAAGCUAUUUAGGUAGCGCCUCGUGAAUUCAUCUCCGGGGGUAGAGCACUGUUUCGGCAAGGGGGUCAUCCCGACUUACCAACCCGAUGCAAACUGCGAAUACCGGAGAAUGUUAUCACGGGAGACACACGGCGGGUGCUAACGUCCGUCGUGAAGAGGGAAACAACCCAGACCGCCAGCUAAGGUCCCAAAGUCAUGGUUAAGUGGGAAACGAUGUGGGAAGGCCCAGACAGCCAGGAUGUUGGCUUAGAAGCAGCCAUCAUUUAAAGAAAGCGUAAUAGCUCACUGGUCGAGUCGGCCUGCGCGGAAGAUGUAACGGGGCUAAACCAUGCACCGAAGCUGCGGCAGCGACGCUUAUGCGUUGUUGGGUAGGGGAGCGUUCUGUAAGCCUGUGAAGGUGUACUGUGAGGUAUGCUGGAGGUAUCAGAAGUGCGAAUGCUGACAUAAGUAACGAUAAAGCGGGUGAAAAGCCCGCUCGCCGGAAGACCAAGGGUUCCUGUCCAACGUUAAUCGGGGCAGGGUGAGUCGACCCCUAAGGCGAGGCCGAAAGGCGUAGUCGAUGGGAAACAGGUUAAUAUUCCUGUACUUGGUGUUACUGCGAAGGGGGGACGGAGAAGGCUAUGUUGGCCGGGCGACGGUUGUCCCGGUUUAAGCGUGUAGGCUGGUUUUCCAGGCAAAUCCGGAAAAUCAAGGCUGAGGCGUGAUGACGAGGCACUACGGUGCUGAAGCAACAAAUGCCCUGCUUCCAGGAAAAGCCUCUAAGCAUCAGGUAACAUCAAAUCGUACCCCAAACCGACACAGGUGGUCAGGUAGAGAAUACCAAGGCGCUUGAGAGAACUCGGGUGAAGGAACUAGGCAAAAUGGUGCCGUAACUUCGGGAGAAGGCACGCUGAUAUGUAGGUGAAGUCCCUCGCGGAUGGAGCUGAAAUCAGUCGAAGAUACCAGCUGGCUGCAACUGUUUAUUAAAAACACAGCACUGUGCAAACACGAAAGUGGACGUAUACGGUGUGACGCCUGCCCGGUGCCGGAAGGUUAAUUGAUGGGGUUAGCGCAAGCGAAGCUCUUGAUCGAAGCCCCGGUAAACGGCGGCCGUAACUAUAACGGUCCUAAGGUAGCGAAAUUCCUUGUCGGGUAAGUUCCGACCUGCACGAAUGGCGUAAUGAUGGCCAGGCUGUCUCCACCCGAGACUCAGUGAAAUUGAACUCGCUGUGAAGAUGCAGUGUACCCGCGGCAAGACGGAAAGACCCCGUGAACCUUUACUAUAGCUUGACACUGAACAUUGAGCCUUGAUGUGUAGGAUAGGUGGGAGGCUUUGAAGUGUGGACGCCAGUCUGCAUGGAGCCGACCUUGAAAUACCACCCUUUAAUGUUUGAUGUUCUAACGUUGACCCGUAAUCCGGGUUGCGGACAGUGUCUGGUGGGUAGUUUGACUGGGGCGGUCUCCUCCUAAAGAGUAACGGAGGAGCACGAAGGUUGGCUAAUCCUGGUCGGACAUCAGGAGGUUAGUGCAAUGGCAUAAGCCAGCUUGACUGCGAGCGUGACGGCGCGAGCAGGUGCGAAAGCAGGUCAUAGUGAUCCGGUGGUUCUGAAUGGAAGGGCCAUCGCUCAACGGAUAAAAGGUACUCCGGGGAUAACAGGCUGAUACCGCCCAAGAGUUCAUAUCGACGGCGGUGUUUGGCACCUCGAUGUCGGCUCAUCACAUCCUGGGGCUGAAGUAGGUCCCAAGGGUAUGGCUGUUCGCCAUUUAAAGUGGUACGCGAGCUGGGUUUAGAACGUCGUGAGACAGUUCGGUCCCUAUCUGCCGUGGGCGCUGGAGAACUGAGGGGGGCUGCUCCUAGUACGAGAGGACCGGAGUGGACGCAUCACUGGUGUUCGGGUUGUCAUGCCAAUGGCACUGCCCGGUAGCUAAAUGCGGAAGAGAUAAGUGCUGAAAGCAUCUAAGCACGAAACUUGCCCCGAGAUGAGUUCUCCCUGACUCCUUGAGAGUCCUGAAGGAACGUUGAAGACGACGACGUUGAUAGGCCGGAUGUGUAAGCGCAGCGAUGCGUUGAGCUAACCGGUACUAAUGAACCGUGAGGCUUAACCUUACAACGCCGAAGCUGUU
rnacentral:rRNA from 2 species